CACUUCGCUGUAACCCGAGCGAGGACACCGUGGGCUGCGUGCUGUGACGCUCAAUCUGGGGUUUGGUCUCGCGACUGGCGGGCAGCACUGCCCUGCCCGAAGC
rnacentral:SRP_RNA from 14 species